GACAGAGGGUGCAAACGUUGUUCGGAAUUACUGGGCGUAAAGCGAGUGUAGGCGGUCUUCUAAGUCGGAUGUGAAAGCCCCGGGCUCAACCCGGGAAGUGCACUCGAAACUGGAAGGCUAGAGUAUCGGAGAGGUUGGUGGAAUUCUCGGUGUAGAGGUGAAAUUCGUAGAUAUCGAGAGGAACACCGGCGGCGAAGGCGGCCAACUGGACGAAUACUGACGCUGAGACUCGAAAGCGUGGGGAGCAAACAGG
rnacentral:rRNA from 1 species